GAACCUUUGAGUGGACCAACCUGCUAAACAUUUUGACAAGAGCCUAACAUUUAAAUCAAGAUGCCGGCGAAAGAGAAUUGCAAGGCCAUGAUGCAAGAGCUGGCUGGGCUUUAAACAGGGUCAGAAGAGAGUGAUAGCAUCCUUGGCAUCCAUUGCCAAGACGAGGGUGGAGUUCAUGGUAAGCUUCUUUAGCAAGCAGCUUAAUCUUCUAAAUGUAAAGCCAGAGAAAAUUUUGGAACCUCAAUCACUGAAGAUUUUUAAGAAAGCUGGGUGAAGAACUCUCUUUCUCUGGAGAGAGCUGCAUCCUACAGAGGCGUAAUCCAGCAGGAGGUGUGUAGCUGCAGUAGCUAGGGCUGAACUAAAGCUUGUGGUAGGUGGGGUCCGAGCUAAAUGUUGGGUCCUUUCUUUCUGGUUCUGUCUGUCUUUCCUCUCUGUUGUGGGAGGGACAUAUCACUCUUGCCAUAGGUC